AUUGAACGCUGGCGGCAGGCUUAACACAUGCAAGUCGAGCGGGGUGAUGGUGCUUGCACUAUCACUUAGCGGCGGACGGGUGAGUAAUGCUUAGGAAUCUGCCUAUUAGUGGGGGACAACAUUUCGAAAGGAAUGCUAAUACCGCAUACGUCCUACGGGAGAAAGCAGGGGAUCUUCGGACCUUGCGCUAAUAGAUGAGCCUAAGUCGGAUUAGCUAGUUGGGGGGGUAAAGGCCUACCAAGGCGACGAUCUCUAGCGGGUCUGAGAGGAUGAUCCGCCACACUGGGACUGAGACACGGCCCAGACUCCUACGGGAGGCAGCAGUGGGGAAUAUUGGACAAUGGGCGGAAGCCUGACCCAGCCAUGCCGCGUGUGUGAAGAAGGCCUUAUGGUUGUAAAGCACUUUAAGCGAGGAGGAGGCUACUUUAGUUAAUACCUAGAGAUAGUGGACGUUACUCGCAGAAUAAGCACCGGCUAACUCUGUGCCAGCCGCCGCCGUAAAAC
rnacentral:rRNA from 1 species